rnacentral:rRNA from 1 species
AUUGAACGCUGGCGGCAUGCCUUACACAUGCAAGUCGAACGGCAGCAUGGAAGAGCUUGCUCUUCUGAUGGCGAGUGGCGAACGGGUGAGUAAAGCAUCGGAACGUACCGUGUAGUGGGGGAUAACGUAGCGAAAGUUACGCUAAUACCGCAUACGCACUGAGGUGGAAAGCAGGGGAUCGCAAGACCUUGCGCUAUACGAGCGGCCGAUGUCAGAUUAGCUAGUUGGUAGGGUAAAGGCCUACCAAGGCGACGAUCUGUAGCGGGUCUGAGAGGAUGAUCCGCCACACUGGGACUGAGACACGGCCCAGACUCCUACGGGAGGCAGCAGUGGGAAUUUUGGACAAUGGGCGAAAGCCUGAUCCAGCCAUGCCGCGUGAGUGAAGAAGGCCUUCGGGUUGUAAAGCUCUUUCGGCUGGGGAGAAAUCGCACAGGCUAAUACUCUGUGUGGAUGACGGUACCAGCACAAGAAGCACCGGCUAACUACGUG